rnacentral:rRNA from 1 species
UACAGAGGGGGCAAGCGUUAUUCGGAAUUAUUGGGCGUAAAGGGCGCGUAGGCGGCCUGGCAAGUGGAAGGUGAAAUCCCUCGGCUUAACCGAGGAACUGCCUUCCAAACUGCUUGGCUUGAGUCCGGGAGAGGUGAGUGGAAUUCCCAGUGUAGCGGUGAAAUGCGUAGAUAUUAGGAAGAACACCAGUGGCGAAGGCGGCUCACUGGCCCGGUACUGACGCUGAGGCGCGAAAGCGUGGGGAGCAAACAGG